rnacentral:misc_RNA from 1 species
CCGAGUUAUACAACUCAUCAACCCCUGUGAACUAUACCUUAACUGUUGCUUCGGCGGGACCCUUACGCCGCCCCGCCAGAGGACCCCUAACCUCUGAAUUUUUAAUAAUGUAUUUCUGAGUGGUAACAACAAAUGAAUUA